UAUGGAGCUGCCCUGCUUUUCAUGUAAACUUUGAACAAGCAAUAUUAUGUCCUUAUUCUACAUAUAAGACUACCUUUAUGCCUCAAAUGUUAUUUAUAAACUUUCCCUAGGUCGUUGAGUAAUAUUAGUAAAAUAUGAGUUCAGAAAACAGCAAAACCAAAAGACAAUCAAGAUUCAGCAUAUUCGUCUAAGGGAAGAAGAAGAGUGAAAGCAGUGGUAGAAGAAUGAGGGAUACGACAAAAAUGAAAGCACUGAGAUCUGGGUUAGUGGUAAUUGGAGCUGUAGCAUUUGGUUACCUGAAUUUGCAGCUAAUGUUCAAGCCCUUUCUUGAGAAAACACAGUCACAACAACCUCUCCUCCACUCUGAAUCAUCCCAACAACAACAAUCUGAGUCAGACCAAAGCUUAUGACUAUUUCAUUUUAGCUUAUGGUUCAUUUUCUGUAAUUCUUUUGAUUUUUUUCUUGAUCCCAUGUGGAAAAACUGUUCCAAUUUUUAUGAUUUUCAGCCCUGUAUCUCUUCUCUUAUAAUUCAUUGUUUAAAGAUUAUGGCGUCAACUCAUUGUUAUCCAUGAUAUGUAGCUGAUCCUAAUGAUUGUUAACUAUGUUUGUGACAAAGUACGAGUCAGGAGAACAGUGGCGAAGCUAGAAAUUUUUCCAAUUGUAUUCAAAUUUAAAAUGAGUGAGAAAAAUUUGUGACAAAAAGUGUUCAAUAUGUG
rnacentral:lncRNA from 1 species